AACGAACGCUGGCGGCAUGCCUAACACAUGCAAGUCGAACGAGACCUUCGGGUCUAGUGGCGCACGGGUGCGUAACGCGUGGGAACCUGCCCUUAGGUUCGGAAUAACUCCCCGAAGGGGGUGCUAAUACCGGAUAAUGUCUUCGGACCAAAGAUUUAUCGCCUUUGGAUGGGCCCGCGUUGGAUUAGCUAGUUGGUAGGGUAAAAGCCUACCAAGGCGACGAUCCAUAGCUGGUCUGAGAGGAUGAUCAGCCACACUGGGACUGAGACACGGCCCAGACUCCUACGGGAGGCAGCAGUGGGGAAUAUUGGACAAUGGGCGAAAGCCUGAUCCAGCAAUGCCGCGUGAGUGAUGAAGGCCUUAGGGUUGUAAAGCUCUUUUACCCGGGAUGAUAAUGACAGUACCGGGAGAAUAAGCUCCGGCUAACUCCGU
rnacentral:rRNA from 1 species